rnacentral:rRNA from 1 species
UAGUCGUCCGUGCUACGACGACGAACGCUGGCGGCGUGCCUAAUACAUGCAAGUCGAGCGGACAGAAGGGAGCUUGCUACCCGGAUGUUAGCGGCGGACGGGUGAGUAACACGUGGGUAACCUGCCUGUAAGACUGGGAUAACUCCGGGAAACCGGAGCUAAUACCGGAUAGUUCCUUGAACCGCAUGGUUCAAGGAUGAAAGACGGUUUCGGCUGUCACUUACAGAUGGGCCCGCGGCGCAUUAGCUAGUUGGUGAGGUAACGGCUCACCAAGGCGACGAUGCGUAGCCGACCUGAGAGGGUGAUCGGCCACACUGGGACUGAGACACGGCCCAGACUCCUACGGGAGGCAGCAGUAGGGAAUCUUCCGCAAUGGACGAAAGUCUGACGGAGCAACGCCGCGUGAGUGAUGAAGGUUUUCGGAUCGUAAAGCUCUGUUGUUAGGGAAGAACAAGUGCAAGAGUAACUGCUUGCACCUUGACGGUACCCAACCAGAAAGCCACGGCUAACUACGUG